GAGUUUCAGCAUCCUUCUAUUGUGGACU
rnacentral:piRNA from 1 species